GACGAACGCUGGUGGCGUGCUUAACACAUGCAAGUCGAACGGAAAGGCCCUGCUUUUGUGUGGUGCUCGAGUGGCGAACGGGUGAGUAACACGUGAGUAACCUGCCCUUGACUUUGGGAUAACUUCAGGAAACUGGGGCUAAUACCGGAUAGGAGCUCCUGCUGCAUGGUGGGGGUUGGAAAGUUUCGGCGGUUGGGGAUGGACUCGCGGCUUAUCAGCUUGUUGGUGGGGUAGUGGCUUACCCAGGCUUUGACGGGUAGCCGGCCUGGGAGGGUGACCGGCGACAUGGGGACUGAGAGAGGGCGCAGACGGGAAUGGGGGGCGACGGGGGGAAGUAUGACGCAGUGGGGGGAAGCCUGAGACGAAAGCCCUGGGUGCGGAAAGACGGCCUAGGGGUGAUAAACCGAUUUCGCCUGAGACGAAGGGUGAUUGACGUUAAUGGGUAAAGAAGCACCGGCUAACUACGUG
rnacentral:rRNA from 1 species